rnacentral:rRNA from 1 species
UACGAAGGGAGCUAGCGUUGUUCGGAAUCACUGGGCGUAAAGCGCACGUAGGCGGAUGUGUCAGUCAGGGGUGAAAGUCCCGGAGCUCAACUUCGGAACUGCCUUUGAUACAGCACAUCUGGAGUCCGGAAGAGGUGGGUGGAAUUCCUAGUGUAGAGGUGAAAUUCGUAGAUAUUAGGAAGAACACCGGUGGCGAAGGCGGCCCACUGGUCCGGUACUGACGCUGAGGUGCGAAAGCGUGGGGAGCAAACAG